UUAAGUUAAUAAGGGCGCACGGUGGAUGCCUUGGCACUAGGAGCCGAAGAAGGACGUGACAAACGACGAUAUGCCUUGGGUAGCUGUAAGUAAGCGAUGAUCCAGGGAUUUCCGAAUGGGGGAACCCAACAGGUACUACCUGUUACCCGCAUCUGUUAAGGAUGUGAGGAGGAAGACGCAGUGAACUGAAACAUCUAAGUAGCUGCAGGAAGAGAAAGCAAAAGCGAUUGCCUUAGUAGCGGCGAGCGAAACGGCAGGAGGGCAAACCGAAGAGUUUACUCUUCGGGGUUGUAGGACUGCAAUGUGGACUCAAAGAUUAUAGAAGAAUGAUUUGGGAAGAUCAGCCAAAGAGAGUAAUAGCCUCGUAUUUAAAAUAGUCUUUGUACCUAGCAGUAUCCUGAGUACGGCGGGACACGUGAAAUCCCGUCGGAAUCUGGGAGGACCAUCUCCCAACCCUAAAUACUCCCUAGUGACCGAUAGUGAACCAGUACCGUGAGGGAAAGGUGAAAAGCACCCCGGGAGGGGAGUGAAAUAGAACCUGAAACCGUGUGCCUACAACAAGUUCGAGCCCGUUAAUGGGUGAGAGCGUGCCUUUUGUAGAAUGAACCGGCGAGUUACGUUAUGAUGCGAGGUUAAGUUGAAGAGACGGAGCCGUAGGGAAACCGAGUCUGAAUAGGGCGCAUUAGUAUCAUGACGUAGACCCGAAACCAUGUGACCUACCCAUGAGCAGGUUGAAGGUGCGGUAAGACGCACUGGAGGACCGAACCAGGGCACGUUAAAAAGUGCUUGGAUGACUUGUGGGUAGCGGAGAAAUUCCAAACGAACUUGGAGAUAGCUGGUUCUCUCCGAAAUAGCUUUAGGGCUAGCGUCGACAUUAGAGAUUCUUGGAGGUAGAGCACUGUUUGGGUGAGGGGUCCAUCCCGGAUUACCAAUCUCAGAUAAACUCCGAAUGCCAAUGAAUUAUGGUCGGCAGUCAGACUGCGAGUGCUAAGAUCCGUAGUCGAAAGGGAAACAGCCCAGACCACCAGCUAAGGUCCCAAAAUAAUUGUUAAGUGGAAAAGGAUGUGGGGUUGCACAGACAACUAGGAUGUUAGCUUAGAAGCAGCUAUUCAUUCAAAGAGUGCGUAAUAGCUCACUAGUCGAGUGACCCUGCGCCGAAAAUGUACCGGGGCUAAAACAAUUUACCGAAGCUGUGGAUACCUUUAUAGGUAUGGUAGGAGAGCGUUCUAUGUGUGAUGAAGGUGUACCGUGAGGAGUGCUGGAACGCAUAGAAGUGAGAAUGCCGGUAUGAGUAGCGAAAGACAGGUGAGAAUCCUGUCCACCGUAAGACUAAGGUUUCCAGGGGAAGGCUCGUCCGCCCUGGGUUAGUCGGGACCUAAGGAGAGACCGAAAGGUGUAUCCGAUGGACAACAGGUUGAUAUUCCUGUACUAGAGUAUGUAGUGAUGGAGGGACGCAGUAGGCUAACUAAAGCAGACGAUUGGAAGUGUCUGUCUAAGCAGUGAGGUGUGAUAUGAGUCAAAUGCUUAUAUCUAUAACAUUGAGCUGUGAUGGGGAGCGAAGUUUAGUAGCGAAGUUAGUGACGUCACACUGCCAAGAAAAGCUUCUAGCNUUUAUAACANACUCUACCCGUACCGCAAACCGACACAGGUAGAUCGAGGCGAGUAGCCUCAGGUGAGCGAGAGAACUCUCGUUAAGGAACUCGGCAAAAUGACCCCGUAACUUCGGGAGAAGGGGUGCUGACUUUAAGUCAGCCGCAGUGAAUAGGCCCAAGCAACUGUUUAUCAAAAACACAGCUCUCUGCUAAAUCGUAAGAUGAUGUAUAGGGGGUGACGCCUGCCCGGUGCUGGAAGGUUAAGAGGAGUGCUUAGCGNAAGCGAAGGUAUGAAUUGAAGCCCCAGUAAACGGCGGCCGUAACAAUAACGGUCCUAAGGUAGCGAAAUUCCUUGUCGGGUAAGUUCC
rnacentral:rRNA from 1 species